rnacentral:lncRNA from 1 species
GCCACCAAUGAUUUACACAGUGCCUCAGCUGGGUCAGGGUGGCCAGGCAGAGCUGAGACCACAUACAACCACUGCGUUGUGCUCUGGUGACUCACUGUGUGCUCACUAGCGUGCUGGGAUGCCCAUGCAGGGCUAACAGGUGGCCAUCCUCCCCGCCACAUGCCCGUUACUGAAUUAGGUACUUGCGAUCCACGCCCAGCUGCCGAUGAGAGGGCUCACAAACCAACUCCCACAUGCCCUGGGGCUGCAUAAGUGAUAUGGCAUGCUGUGGGACUCCAGGCUCAGUCUUCCUGGGUUAGAAACCACCUAGAAACUUUCCUU